GCACUAUAAGCAACCAAAAUGCCUUCAUCAGAAAGCAGCUUCUGAUCUUGAGAAAGCUGUUUAUGGAGCUCCUUCAGGUUCUCCCAAUUCUCAACAGAUUCUUGCCAUGGCUCCUUCAGGUAGUGCCUGUCAAAUCAGAACGUCAGAAAGAUGUUGCUCGCCUGCCCAACAUGCAAGGCUGGCAAAGGAAACCUGAUGUUUCAUCAUAUGACUUCCUUGGGGGCAGUUAAAGGAUCCACCAAGAAUGCAAUUUCACGAUACAGUUUCUUACAGCACCCGUGAGUGGCUGCCGUUGAUGACACUUUGCAGGCCUACUCAGGAUCGCUCUCUUAAUGUGUUACAUAGCGGAAUGCCAUCAGUUUAUUGAUGAAAUCACAUUUAAAAGCUUCAGAUGAUCUUGUUAAGAGGCCUAACAUAGAUAUUAAACAUGGGAGAUAAUAUAGAGCCUUGUGGCACAUCCCCCAUGUAGCUCCCAAGGGGGUAAUUCAGCCACUUCUACUGCAACCUUUUGUGACCAGUCUAAUAAAAAGAACUAAAGCCAUGUCAACACUGCUCCAUUCACACCCAUGUCACUUUCCAGGUACCUUAGCAGUAUGGCGUGCCCCAAUGUAUCAAAGACUGCUCACAGAUCUAAAAACAACAAAUGGAGAUGUGUUCCUUUCAUUCACCUGAAGAUGAAGAUCAUCUAUCAGUGCCAUUAGAGCCAUCUCUGCCUCCAAACCAGGCCUGAAGUCAAACUAUAAGGCAUCAAGGGCAAGUAUAUCAUCCUGGGAGUUGCUCUAUCAGUGUAAACACGAAAUGUCAAAAAGCACGGAUACAUAAGAGAAAUUUUAAAAUCAUGUCAAAUCAGUCUAUCUUGGAAACAUGCCAUUUACAACAAUUAGGUUGCAUCCUAUGGCUGCAUUAAUCCAGAUUAAUUUCCAGUUUGUUAAGCAUUCGAAUCAGGGUACAAUUAUAGCAUAAUUCUGUAGCAGUGCCAUCUUUAAUCCCAUAGCAAUAUGUUUUGUAACCUGAAACUAAAUUUCCUUACUAUUUUUUUAUCCCAAAGUGUGAUGUUAUAUUUCAAGAAUGUGUCAACUGAAACUUACUUUAAAAAUACUGUUAAUAGAAAUGUUAUCAAGCAAUUAUAAAGUGAUUUAAAUUUACUUUUUCUCCUCUGCAUUUCUGAAAAAAGAAAUUAAUACAUAAAUCCCUGUCAAAUAUAUGUAAAAGCACUACAUUCUGGUAUAUUGCCAACAUAUUCAAUAACAAGGAUUUAAAAGUUAAUAGUCUAGAAGAUUAGAAACUGGGGUCCGUUACA